UACGUAGGGUGCAAGCGUUGUCCGGAAUUAUUGGGCGUAAAGAGCUCGUAGGCGGUCUGUCGCGUCGAAUGUGAAAACCCGGGGCUCAACCCCGGGCCUGCAUUCGAUACGGGCAGACUAGAGUUCGGUAGGGGAGACUGGAAUUCCUGGUGUAGCGGUGAAAUGCGCAGAUAUCGGGAGGAACACCGGUGGCGAAGGCGGUUCUCUGGGCCUUACCUGACACUGAGGAGCGAAAGCGUGGGGAGCGAACAGG
rnacentral:rRNA from 1 species